GACGGAGGGUGCAAGCGUUGUUCGGAAUUACUGGGCGUAAAGCGUACGUAGGCGGCGGAUUAAGUCGAAUGUUAAAGCCUGAGGCUCAACCUCAGAGAUGCACUCGAUACUGGUCUGCUAGAGGGUGAUAGAGGAAAGCGGAAUUCCCAGUGUAGCGGUGGAAUGCGUAGAUAUUGGGAGGAACAUCAGUAGCGAAGGCGGCUUUCUGGGUCACACCUGACGCUGAGGUACGAAAGCGUGGGGAGCAAACGGG
rnacentral:rRNA from 1 species